rnacentral:rRNA from 1 species
AGUGAACGCUGGCGGUAGGCCUAACACAUGCAAGUCGAACGGCAGCACAGUAAGAGCUUGCUCUUACGGGUGGCGAGUGGCGGACGGGUGAGGAAUACAUCGGAAUCUACUUUUUCGUGGGGGAUAACGUAGGGAAACUUACGCUAAUACCGCAUACGACCUACGGGUGAAAGCAGGUGAUCUUCGGACCUUGCGCGAUUGAAUGAGCCGAUGUCGGAUUAGCUAGUUGGCGGGGUAAAGGCCCACCAAGGCGACGAUCCGUAGCUGGUCUGAGAGGAUGAUCAGCCAAACUGGAACUGAGACACGGUCCAGACUCCUACGGGAGGCAGCAGUGGGGAAUAUUGGACAAUGGGCGCAAGCCUGAUCCAGCCAUACCGCGUGGGUGAAGAAGGCCUUCGGGUUGUAAAGCCCUUUUGUUGGGAAAGAAAAGCAGCAGGUUAAUACCCCGCUGUUCUGACGGUACCCAAAGAAUAAGCACCGGCUAACUUCGUG